ACCCGCUGAACUUAAGCAUAUCAAUAAGCGGAGGAAAAGAAACCAACAGGGAUUGCCUUAGUAACUGCGAGUGAAGCGGCAAAAGCUCAAAUUUGAAAUCUGGUGCCUCCGGCGCCCGAGUUGUAAUUUGGAGAGACAUCUUCGGAGUAGACGCCGUCCUAAGUUCCUUGGAACAGGACGUCACAGAGGGUGAGAAUCCCGUGCCUGGAUGGCUGUUCUACUUCAUGUGAAGUGUCUUCGACGAGUCGAGUUGUUUGGGAAUGCAGCUCAAAAUGGGAGGUAAAUUUCUUCUAAAGCUAAAUAUUGGCGAGAGACCGAUAGCGCACAAGUAGAGUGAUCGAAAGAUGAAAAGCACUUUGAAAAGAGAGUUAAAAAGUACGUGAAAUUGUUGAAAGGGAAGCGCUUGAGACCAGACUCGACCAGUGGUGAUCAGCGGUGCUUCUGUGCCGUGCACUUGCCAUUGGUUGGGCCAGCAUCGGUUUGGACGGCGGGAUAAAGACCUAAGGAAUGUGGCUCCCUCCGGGGAGUGUUAUAGCCUUGAGUGCAAUGCCGCCAGUCUGGACCGAGGACCGCGCUUCGGCUAGGAUGCUGGCGUAAUGGUCUU
rnacentral:rRNA from 1 species